rnacentral:rRNA from 1 species
CCUACGGGUGGCUGCAGUGGGGAAUAUUGGACAAUGGGCGAAAGCCUGAUCCAGCCAUGCCGCGUGUGUGAAGAAGGCCUUCGGGUUGUAAAGCACUUUCAGUGGGGAAGAAAGCCUUGGGGCUAAUACCCUCGAGGAAGGACAUCACCCACAGAAGAAGCACCGGCUAACUCCGUGCCAGCAGCCGCGGUAAUACGGAGGGUGCGAGCGUUAAUCGGAGUUACUGGGCGUAAAGCGCGCGUAGGCGGUCUGAUAAGCCGGUUGUGAAAGCCCCGGGCUCAACCUGGGAACGGCAUCCGGAACUGUCAGGCUAGAGUGCAGGAGAGGAAGGUAGAAUUCCCGGUGUAGCGGUGAAAUGCGUAGAGAUCGGGAGGAAUACCAGUGGCGAAGGCGGCCUUCUGGACUGACACUGACGCUGAGGUGCGAAAGCGUGGGUAGCAAACAGGAUUAGAUACCCGAGUAGUC